rnacentral:rRNA from 1 species
GAUGAACGCUGGCGGCGUGCCUAAUACAUGCAAGUCGAGCGAACAGACGAGGAGCUUGCUCCUCUGCCGUUAGCGGCGGACGGGUGAGUAACACGUGGAUAACCUACCUAUAAGACUGGGAUAACUUCGGGAAACCGGAGCUACUACCGGAUAAUAUAUUGAACCGCAUGGUUCAAUAGUGAAAGACGGUUUUGCUGUCACUUAUAGCUGGUUCCGCGCCGCAUUAGCUAGUUGGUAAGGUAACGGCUUACCAAGGCAACGAUGCGUAGCCGACCGGGGAGGGGGAUCGGCCACACGGGAACUGGGAAACGUCCCAGACCCCUACGGGGGGCAGCAGGAGGGAAUCUGCCGCAAUGGGCGAAGGCCUGACGGAGCAACGCGGCGGGGGUGAUGAGGGCUUUCGGUUCUAAAAACGCUGUUAUUGGAAAGAAACAAAUGUGUAAGUAACUAUGCACGUCUGGACGGAACCAAAGCAGAAAGCCACGGCUAACUACGG